rnacentral:sRNA from 1 species
AUUAAUAGAUCACUUUUAGCUCUUGGGAAUGUCAUCAAUGCCUUAGCAGAUUCAAAGAGAAAGAAUCAGCAUAUCCCUUACAGAAAUAGUAAGCUUACUCGCUUGUUAAAGGAUUCUCUUGGAGGAAACUGUCAAACUAUAAUGAUAGCUGCUGUUAGUCCUUCCUCUGUAUUCUAUGAUGACACAUAUAACACUCUUAAGUAUGCUAACCGGGCAAAGGACAUUAAAUCUUCUGUAAGUCUGUUUACUCUGCCUUUGUUGUGAAGGUAUUGGCUGCAUAUGAUUUUUAUAAUUCAAUUGAAAGUAUUAAUUCAGGUUAUGUUUCCACAUAAUGAGUUAGGCAGCUGAGGGUUAGAAGAGUCUUUGCUAACCUGCUUAGUCGAACAUUAAUUUAGAUGGUUAAACCAUAAAGCAUCUUGAUUAUAUAUAUAUAAUAGAUACUAUUAUUCGAUCUUUUGGGUACUAUGGUACUUGAGUGGCUUUCUCCCUAACCUCUUUGAUGUCAUGGCAUAUUGUAUUUGGAUGGCACCUUGGAGUAAUCAGUCAAAGCUUGAACACAUUUGUUGCAGCCCAGGAUGAUGCUCUG